AACCAGUGACUGUGUUGAUUUUAAAGAACUUGGGGAUGCUUUGCACGCUUCUGGAAUAAAGGUUAUACUACGAGUGGAUCGUUUCGGAGCACAAAAAUUGCAAGUUGUCGAAACAUAUUUGUACUGGAAAUAUGCCCUGUUGGAAGCAUGAAGAUAAGCCAGCUUCAAGAGACAAAACUCGUUGGACAAGCCAUCAACCAUGUAAGAUCAGAGAGUACCAGACGUUAACCAGAGGAAGCUCGAGAGCCAAUGGAGAUUAUUGUUUGAGUCAAUGAGAUAGCAAGAUCAGGCAGCGGCAGCAGUUGUGAGUUUGUCAAACAAGUUCUGACCCCGGUGAUUUGAAAUGAACUUGCAAUGAAAUUUAAUUUGUUAGACAUGCAGAAAAAG